GAUCCUGGCUACAGAACGAACGCUGGCGGCAGGCCUAACACAUGCAAGUCGAGCGCGCCCUUCGGGGUGAGCGGCGGACGGGUUAGUAACGCGUGGGAACGUACCCUUUGGUAGGGAAUAGCCACUGGAAACGGUGAGUAAUACCCUAUGAGCCCUUCGGGGGAAAGAUUUAUCGCCAAAGGAUCGGCCCGCGUUAGAUUAGGUAGUUGGUGGGGUAAUGGCCUACCAAGCCUACGAUCUAUAGCUGGUUUUAGAGGAUGAUCAGCAACACUGGGACUGAGACACGGCCCAGACUCCUACGGGAGGCAGCAGUGGGGAAUCUUGGACAAUGGGGGCAACCCUGAAUCCAGCCAUGCCGCGUGAGUGAAGAAGGCCUUAGGGUCGUAAAGCUCUUUCGCCUGUGAAGAUAAUGACGGUAGCAGGUAAAGAAACCCCGGCUAACUCCGUGCCAGCCGCAGC
rnacentral:rRNA from 1 species